rnacentral:rRNA from 1 species
UACGAAGGGGGCUAGCGUUGCUCGGAAUCACUGGGCGUAAAGCGCACGUAGGCGGCUUGUUAAGUCAGGGGUGAAAUCCUGGAGCUCAACUCCAGAACUGCCUUCGAUACUGGCGAUCUUGAGUCCGGAAGAGGUGAGUGGAACUCCUAGUGUAGAGGUGGAAUUCGUAGAUAUUAGGAAGAACACCAGUGGCGAAGGCGGCUCACUGGUCCGGUACUGACGCUGAGACGCGAAAGCGUGGGGAGCAAACAGG